rnacentral:rRNA from 1 species
CUGAGAGGUGGUGCAUGGCCGUCGUCAGUUCGUACUGUGAAGCAUCCUGUUAAGUCAGGCACGAGCGAGACCCACGUCCACAGUUGCCAGCAUACCCCUCCGGGGUGAUGGGUACACUGUGGAGACCGCCGCUGCUAAAGCGGAGGAAGGAGUGGGCAACGGUAGGUCAGUAUGCCCCGAAUCUCCCGGGCUACACGCGGGCUACAAUGGUUGGUACAAUGGGCAUCUACCCCGAAAGGGGAAGGAAAUCUCUUAAAGCCAAUCGUAGUUCGGAUUGAGGGCUGCAACUCGCCCUCAUGAAGCUGGAAUCCGUAGUAAUCGCGUUUCAACAGAACGCGGUGAAUACGUCCCUGCUCCUU